UACGGGGGGUGCGAGCGUUGUCCGGAAUCACUGGGCGUAAAGGGCGCGUAGGUGGCGUCGUAAGUUUGUGGUGAAAGCCCGGAGCUCAACUCCGGGUCUGCCGCGAAUACUGCGAGGCUUGAGUACUGUAGAGGGGGGUAGAAUAUCGGGUGUAGCGGUGGAAUGCGUAGAGAUCCGAUAGAAGACCGGUGGCGAAGGCGGCCCCCUGGGCAGUAACUGACACUGAGGCGCGACAGCGUGGGGAGCAACAGG
rnacentral:rRNA from 1 species